CAGAUGGGGCCAGGAUAGAUAGGUAGACUGAUAUAAGAUGGGGCCAGGAUAGAUAGGUAGACUGAUAUAAGAUGGGGCCAGGAUAGACAGGUAGACUGAUAUCAGAUGGGGCCAGGAUAGAUAGGUAGACUGAUAUAAGAUGGGGCCAGGAUAGAUAGGUAGACUGAUAUAAGAUAGGGCCAGGAUAGAUAGGUAGACUGAUAUAAGAGAGGGCCAGGAUAGAUAGGUAGACUGAUAUAAGAUAGGGCAAGGAUAGAUAGGUAGGCUGAUAUAAGAUGGGGCCAGGAUAGAAAGACAGUGGCUGAUAUAAGAUGGGGCCAGGAUAGAUAGAGAGUGACUGAUAUAAGAUGGGGCCAGGAUAGAUAGAGAGUGGCUGAUAUAAGAUGGGGCCAGGAUAGAUAGGUAGACUGAUAUAAGAUGGGGCCAUGAUAGAUAGAGAGUGACUGAUAUAAGAUAGGGCCAGGAUAGAUAGGUAGACUGAUAUAAGAUGGGGCCAGGAUAGAUAGAGAGUGGCUGAUAUAAGAUGGGGCCAGGAUAGAUAGAGAGGUGCUUAUAUAAGAUGGGGCCAGUAUAGAUAGAGAGGUGCAUAUGUAAGAUGGGGCCAGGAUAGAUAGAGAGUGGCUGAUAUAAGAUGCGAUUGUGUGUGAGUGUGUGUGCGUGCGUGUGAGUGUGUGCGUGAGACUGUGUGCGUGAGUGUGUGUGUGAGUGUGUGUGUGCGUGUGUACAUGGAGAGGGUCAGUGAGAGGCUGUACACUCCAGCCCCCCCCCUUGGAAUAGAUCCCAGGCCAUUACCCCUGAUUAAAACACGAUUAAAACCAGGAUUUGUCAACAGGGAGACCAUGUUACACCCCUCACACACAGCCACCCCUCACACACA
ensembl:lncRNA